GGGAAAUUAGAGUUUCUAACUCCAACCCAUGUGAACUUACCUUUUGUUGCCUCGGCAGAAGUUAUAGGUCUUCUUAUAGCUGCUGCCGGUGGACCAUUAAACUCUUGUUAUUUUAUGUAAUCUGAGCGUCUUAUUUUAAUAAGUCAAAACUUUCAACAACGGAUCUCUUGGUUCUGGCAUCGAUGAAGAACGCAGCGAAAUGCGAUAAGUAAUGUGAAUUGCAGAAUUCAGUGAAUCAUCGAAUCUUUGAACGCACAUUGCGCCCAUUAGUAUUCUAGUGGGCAUGCCUGUUCGAGCGUCAUUUCAACCCUUAAGCCUAGCUUAGUGUUGGGAAUCUACUUCUCUUAGGAGUUGUAGUUCCUGAAAUACAACGGCGGAUUUGUAGUAUCCUCUGAGCGUAGUAAUUUUUUUCUCGCUUUUGUUAGGUGCUAUAACUCCCAGCCGCUAAACCCCCAAUUUUUUGUGGUUGACCUCGGAUCAGGUAGGAAUACCCGCUGAACUUAAGCAUAUCAAAGCCGGAAGAAAAAACACCUUUAUGGAGUUUUCUAAACUCCAAACCAUGUGAACUUACUUUUGUUGCCUCGCAAAAAUUAUAGGUCUUCUUAUAGCUGCUGCCGGUGGAACAUUAAACUCUGGUUUAUUUUUAUGUAAUCUGAGCGUCUUAUUUUUAAUAAGUUCAAAACUUUCACACGGAUCUCUGGGUUCUGGCAUCGAUGAAGAAACGCAGCGAAUGCGAUAAGUAAUGUGAAUUGCAGAAUUCGUGAAAUCAUGAAUCUUUGAACGCAAUUGCGCCAUUAGUAUUCUAGUGGCAUGCUGCUGCAGCGUCAUUUCACCUGAGCUAGCUGAGUGUGGGAUCUACUUCCCUCAGGGAGUGCGUAGCUUCGGAAUCAGCGCGAUUGUAUAUCUGGAGCUAUAUUCUCGGUUGUAGGGGCUAUAAUCGACCACCUUGGCUACCGACCGUGAAAUCCUCAACUACGCCUAGCGGAGAAUCUCCUUCUGC
rnacentral:rRNA from 1 species